UCGAGAAUCUUCGGCAAUGGGCGCAAGCCUGACCGAGCGACGCCGCGUGGAGGACGAAGGCCUUCGGGUUGUAAACUCCUGUCGAGGGGGAGGAAGGGGCAACCUUGACCGAUCCCUGGAGGAAGCACGGGCUAAGUUCGUGCCAGCAGCCGCGGUAAGACGAACCGUGCGAACGUUAUUCGGAAUCACUGGGCUUAAAGCGCGUGUAGGCGGGCCGCCACGUCGAACGCUGAAAUCCCCCGGCUCAACCGGGGAACGGGCAUCGAUACGAGCGACCUGGAGGGAGGUAGGGGGGGCUGGAACUUCCGGUGGAGCGGUGAAAUGCGUUGAGAUCGGAAGGAACGCCCGUGGCGAAAGCGAGCCCCUGGACCUUUUCUGACGCUGAGACGCGAAAGCUAGGGGAGCGAACGGGAUUAGAUACCCCCGUAGUCC
rnacentral:rRNA from 1 species